rnacentral:rRNA from 1 species
UGCGUAGGCGGUCUUGUCCGUCAGGUGUGAAAGCUCGGGGCUCAACCCCGGAAGUGCACUUGAAACAGCAAGACUUGAAUACGGGAGAGGAGAGAGGAAUUCCUGGUGUAGAGGUGAAAUUCGUAGAUAUCAGGAGGAACACCGGUGGCGAAGGCAUCUCUCUGGACCGAUAUUGACGCUGAGGCGCGAAGGCGUGGGGAGCGAACAGGAUUAGAUACCCUGGUAGUCC